CUCUGGUGUAUUUUUAUGUUCCCCCAGCUUUUGCCACUGGCUGACUCCAAAUACCUUGAGAGGUGAAAGAGGAGCUGAGUGUCUUCCCGCCAGUCCACGAUCGCUCCACCACCAACACCCCUGCAGUGCCUCCCUGUGGUAAUACGUGGUAACUGUUGGGGAUCUUGGAGCAGCCCACUGGAGAGAAGAGACUGCACGUUUCCACAGUACAUCCUGGGUUUCCAUGACGACGAAGAAGAAACGCUCACACCCGACCAGAUGAGAAGGUCGACAAAAGAAAGGAUACGAUGGAGAGCAUGUGGCAUUCCACGAGACAAGGCAGAACUCCUGCAUCUCCUGAGGCACCCGGAGGUGGAUGUCAACCACCAGACUGAAGGAAUUCGAUCCCCAAAACCCUCCACCCCCACCUCACCUCCCCCAGCAGUCAAGAGUACGAGGAGGGCAACCUAUAGAGCAGAGCUGCUUCAGCCGACUAAUUUCAGUGCAGGACUCUUCCUGAGGGAAUGACAGUCGAGAAGAAGCUCCAGCACCACAGCAGUAUACUGAACACACUGACCAAACCAUCAGCAGAAGUUUCCACGCUGUGAUUUGAAUUAUUUGGUAAACAUACAUUAAACAAGUAACCUAGUAAUGUCAAGAUAAUGCUGUAUUACUGAUCGUAUUUACUUUGUCCAUUUCAUCCAUCCAGUACCAUUUUUAUCCAAGUAUUUAAGCUACAGUUGUGUCCAUGUACUUUGGGGCUGUGCAGUACCUUCCUAUUUAUUUACAACUUU